GUUUAUUUACAUUGUGCACAAAAAUCCAUGCAGCAAUCAGAAAGGAAAGUCUACAAACAAAAUCCUAGCUCAAAUUCGAGCACUUACUAAACAUAAAGUAAUGUCCCUUACUAAACCAGGGUAAUAAUCUAAACAAAUCAACAAAAUAAACAUUGGUUUCACCAACCUUAAGCAUUUUUUCUGGUGCUGCUCUGCACAGAGCUGCUCUCUGCAGGUCAGACUGUAUCUCUCUCCUUUCUGCUCUGAGACCUGAUAAUUAAAGCCUCAGCAGUUGCUAAUUGGGCAGGUGAAUGAGUAUAGGCUAUGGAGGAUUCUGGGUCCUAAAUACCUUCCUUCUAUUACCCUCCCAUAGACUCUGUCAUAUAUCCUCCCAGCCAGCUUAGACCCAUCGGUCGUAGCGACCUUUGACCACAAACAAUGGACUCUGGAUAAACCAUCUGGUCUUUACCAGCUCAAUGCUCCAUACAGAAGUUAUAUGGCUGAAGACUAAGGAACCACCUAGUUACUCUGGCAUUUGUUUCCUUGUUUUGCCUCAUCCAUGUCAAGGGCGCAUGAUCUGUGACAAGUUUGAACCUUCUCCCCAAUAGAUAAUACUUAAGUGUUUCUAGUGCCCAUUUUAUGGCCAAGCAUUCUUUCUCAACCACUGAGUAUCUCUGUUCAUGGGGAUUCAGCUUUUUGCUCAGGUACAUAAUGAGAUGUUCUUCUCCUCUGUGUACUUGAGAAAGAACCGCUCCUAGGCCCACAUCAGACACAUCUGUCUGUACAAAAAAUUAUUUUGUAAAAUCUGGGGCAACCAAAAUUGGGUCAGCACACAAAACCUCCUUCAGGGCACUAAAUGCCUUCUCUACCUUGGGAGUCCACUAUAUCAUAACAGGGCCUUUUGUCUUAGUUAGCUCUGUCAACGGGUUUGCGAUCGUAGCAAAGUUAGGUAUGAAUCUACGGUAG